rnacentral:lncRNA from 1 species
UUUGGUUCAUUUUCAGUUCUUCCUGCUAGAAAAAAAAGAAACUGACUUAUUUAAUCUCACAAAUAUGUCUUCGUUAUCAGUUUUGAGGAGUCAUUCUUCCAGUCGCACAAAAUGUUGACAAAUGGAUCAUUUACAUUCAAUUGUAACUUCAGUGCCAUGUCAUAAAUUUUCAAUUCACCAAUCAAUCUCCUCCAUAAGGUAGUUCUCUUUCUAUGACCUGAGAUCACAAAAUCCAUUGCAUGCGAUUUAGUCUUCUCCAACAUAGCAAAUUAGCAAAUGUAAAUAAUUGCGUGUGGUGGUGAAGUCAUGUGUUGCUAUAAAAUCUUUCUCUGCCAACCUCAAAGGGGCGAUAAGGUCAUCCACUCUGUUCAUUCAUUCAAUUCUUUUUUGCUUUUGCAGAUAUUGCAUCAAAGGUGGGAAGUGAACCGUGCAUUAAUACAUAAAUCUAAUAUCAGUUAUAAUUGGCUGACCAUGUAGGAUGUACCACUUUGAUGUAUUACACUCCAUAUUACCUUACAUUUCUAGCGUGGAAUUUUUAUUUCUCUCAUCUGUAUGUUACACUCCAAAUUUAGGUAAGGAGCACACCCAUGAUAUGAAAAGAGGAACAUAGUUGAUCUCCAUUAGAUCUAUUUCAAUUACUCAUAAAAACAAAUAUAUUAAAAAAUGUUAUUUGCAUUGGGUGAGUAGAUUUGAAGUGUUUUGCACUAGAACCCUGUACCCAGCCUUUUUUAUGUGAUAUUCAGUCCAACAAGGAAAACAAAAUGCUAGAGCGAAAGUAAAUCUUUUGAACUGAAAUCACAUAUUGCUAUGCUCAAUGCAUAUUUCUAAAGUAGAAUAGUUUUUUGUGUCCAUAUACUCUUUUUAUUUCGUGGCAACGCACGGGUACUUAGCUAGUAGGAGAUAGAGGAUGAUGCACCAGUCAAGCAGCUCCCACUUAUAAAGAGGCUUGGCCAAGACGCUCAAGACGCGGCAGUAGACGGCGAGGACGAUGGCUAGGCACACCAUCCCGCCCACCAAAUCGUACCUAUCCAUCAGCUAGCGUACAUCUGGUAGGCGAUAUGAAUGAUAGAUAUAUAAGGCCGCUCUCGAUCUCGAUCUCGACCUCGUCAGAAGCUCCGGCUAUCGAUGUCGUCGUCGUCGGAAUUGUAUUAUAUAGACCGUAUGCUCGGUGGUCAAAACUAGGUCGACGUACUGCCGCUGAUUCCUUCCGGCGAUCCUCCUCCGAGUUGGAGCAUACCAUCGCCGCAAGAGGCCCGAGUAGUGUUAGGUUCGGUCUUUCCUUUCCUUUUCUUUUGGGAAUCGUUUCCAUACGAACCGACGCGCCCGUUGUCCUUCAAGGGCGCGGGCCCAUGCAAAAAAUUUCCCAACCGCGCGCGCUUUGUUGAUCAAUGGAUGCAACAUUUUUCCCAUUCACGCGCUUCGCUGGCCAAUGGAUGCAACAUUUUUCAUUUAAAUUUGUUGCAACCAGUGUCAUAUUUGCUGUAAGCGUUUUUUAUUAUUUUUUGUCCCAGUAAAAAAGUUGCAUAUACGAUUUGGUUGCAACUUCAGUUCGUCAG